rnacentral:rRNA from 1 species
GUGACGAUAGCCUAGGAGAUACACCUGUACCCAUGCCGAACACAGCAGUUAAGCCCUAGAACGCCUGAAGUAGUUGGGGGUUGCCCCCUGUUAGAUAUGGUAGUCGCUUAGC